GUCCCUACCUCGUCUUGUGUGUUAACGAGAAAUAGAUCAGAAUGAAGAAAAGAGGAAAUAGGACAAAAUUAAGUCUGAGGUGACAAACACUUUAAAUAGCCAAAAAUUAAGUGCUGAAAUUAAUAGUUUGAACCCUAAACAACAUUUAAACAAAAGCAAUCAUUAAAAACUAAGCAGUCAGGGCUUUUAAGGUCUUUGCUGUGAGCAUAUGUAGGAGUCUCUUUCUGGCAUGAGGGGGUGUGGUAAGGAGGCAGGCUUAUAAUGCAUAAUUCUACAAAACAUUUAUGGUUUUCCAGCAAACAGCAUGCAAAAAAAUAAACCAUAUUAAGGUCAAAACAUAUACAUUGCCUUCCUAUUACUAACCCUUGAUAAAAC